rnacentral:rRNA from 1 species
AUUGAACGCUGGCGGCGGGCCUAACACAUGCAAGUCGAGCGAAGCGGCUGACUGGUGAGUAAUGCCUGGUAAUCUGCCUGGUCGUGGGGGAUCACGUCCGGAAACGGGCGCUCCUACCGCAUACUAUCAUAUGAGCCUGGGUCGGCUUCGCGAGUUGGUUGGGUAAAGGCCUACCAAGGCGACGAUCCGUAGCUGGUCUGAGAGGAUGAUCAGUCACAUUGGGACUGAGACACGGCCCAGACUCCUACGGGAGGCAGCAGUGGGGAAUAUUGGACAAUGGGCGAAAGUCUGAUCCAGCCACGCCGCGUGAGUGAAGAAGGUCUUCGGAUUGUAAAGCACUGUAAGUGGGGAGGCGGUACCAAAAGAAUAAGCACCGGCUAACUACGUGCCAGCAGCCGCGGUAAUUC